CACAGGGGCCAACGUUAACUUUUUGCAUGAAGGCACUUUACAUGCAAACAACUUCAUUCAGGACCUUCAAACUUCACAUGCUGAUAGUACUUAUUGAGUACACCACCCCUACUGACUUUGGGGUCACCAGCUCAAAGGUCAAGGUGCUGCGGGGGUAUUUGUCACCAUUAGUGACAGCUCUUGUUUCUCUUUGAAAUACUGUAAAAACAGAAAUACUUGCAGGGAAUUUAGUUUCACUAUAUUUAUUUCUGUCUUUUUGUGAAGUCUCCAUUAAAAUUCACAUGUUUGGUUCAUCUGCUGGAAAAACUUAUGGCUUAUCCACAGUUUAAACCUUGCAAAGCUUGAGCAUUGUAAGUUUUCAUAAAAUUUGGGUUGCAUGAAAAUUUAUCUGGUAUUGUAUUAUUUUCUGUCUUGUUUCAGCAAUAUCCCAUGUAUCAUGUGAGCACAACAUGGCAACAAGUGGUACCCAGACUGAAUAUCAAGGGUAGAGAUCUAUUACAGAGAUUAUUGGUAUGCAAUCCCGUUGGCAGACUAUCAGCGGAGGAAGGAUUACAGCACGGAUAUUUCAGUGAUCUUAGUCCAUCAAUCAAGUUUCCUACUGAUCCUUUCUGAGUGAACAUUCCAAACUCCAAGGACAAAGCCAUCUUAGUUGUUGUAAAUUGUGGUUUUAUAUUGUGCCAUUCAUUUUCAAAUCAACCGUCAGAGGUAGAAACACCUAUUCUUACCAGUUUCUUAAAGUCAUCUGAAAGCAUGUACCAUCAUGUGAAUCUAAGAGGACCAAGUUUGUUGAUACACUAACAGUAUGGUAGAGGUAUAUAGGCUACAGAAUGGUAAUGGUAUGGUGAGGCUUAUAAAAGAACUUGAAGUGUAGCAGCAGAUAAUGAGAUUCCACAACUGGAUAUGGGUUUGCUGAUGCUGAAGAAUUUUACGACUUUUCAAAAUUUACUUUCAGUUUUUCUGGAUUAUAGUAUUAUUGUAUUAGAAGCAUUCCAUUGAAUAGAGAGGGAAGUAAAAUCAUUUAAGGUGAAGAAGGUGUAAUUCAGCGACGUCUGGCGGAACGCCAAACGUUACGCUUCGCAACGUCACGUCAUUACACUCUAUUAAGAAAUAAAAUGGCGUCAAGCAAUGCGGGAGGGCGAUACAAUGUAUGUUUCUUUUUUUUUUUUUUUUUUUUUUUGGUUUUAUCUUCUUUAUUCAUUUUCGGCUGGAUUAUCUUGGUGGUUAAAGGUACCAAAUAAAGACGAAUAAAAAAAAAUAAAUCUUUAAAAAAAUGACUAGUCUACACAUUUUGAAAUAUACUUCUAAGCGUUACAAUAGCGGUGCAAAAUUCGUUUGAAGUCAAAACAUGUGCAGAAAAAUGAUUUUUUUUUUAUUUUCUUUGGCUGACAUGGGUGCAGGGCGUCAAGUUACCUAUAUUUACCUAUAUUUUCCUAUAUUUUAGCCCUCUACCUAUAAUAACCUAUAAAAUCCUAUAUUUUGCCAAAAUACCUAUAAAUACCUAUAAUCUGGAAAUUUUGUGGUAAGCAAGAAAUACAAAGGUCAUUCAAACCAUUAAAAAAGAAGUAAUUCUUUGAUAAUUGAGUUUAUAAAUAUGCUGUUACCUUUUAGGCAUUGAAAUUUGUAUUCCUUUCAGGUGUAGCGACCCUGCCCAGCCCAGCUUUAGGAAAGCUUUAAGUAAUGGAAGUUCUUUUUUCAAUUGGAAUAUUUUCCAUUUCUUAAAGCUUUCAUGUAUAAAAAUGUGAAUAGGAAAUGCACAUGUUUUUAUUUUG